rnacentral:tRNA from 1 species
GGGCGCAUGGUUUAGUGGUAUAAUACCUCUUUAGCAUAGAGGUGGUCCGGCGUUCGAUUCGCCGUGCGUCCA